rnacentral:lncRNA from 1 species
GUCAGCAGGCUUCCCAAUGGCCCAGGGCUCCCUGCAACUGCAUGUCACAGUGGCUUCAUUCUGGGCUCUGGAGCCAAACAUGUCAGUUCCAGUCUGCCUCAGACAUUUUCUGCCUAUGGGACCCCCUCAAUAGGGUCAAAGGAACAGGAUUCAUCACUCGGUGUUUGAUGUGAAGUCCCUUCAGCUCUCCAAGCCCCAGUGUCCUCGUGAAUCAAGCGGAGAUCAUCUUAAAGCCCUCAACAGGGACAAGUGUGAAGGAACCAGUAAGAGAAUGCUGAGAUCAGAAGCCUGGAUCCUGCCCAGCCCCAUCCCCGAUGGUCUCAUGCCAACCGUCAGGACCCAACGUUAUCCAGAGACUGGGCUCUAACCACAGCCUGGACUCCUCUAACCCUGGGCCCAGCCACAACCACUCUAGGACUUCUGCUUUGGAAAACAGAAAGCUCAAGCCCCCGAAAAUAAAAGUCCUGGAAAUGUUCCCAGUUAGCAGACACUAGGUCUCCCCUAGUGACACAGAGAGAAGAGAAACAAACAGGCACUAGGAGGGAUUGAGGUGGUCCCUCUGUCCCCCACACACUCCUUCACCCACUGGGCAGCUGCAGCAAUGCUCUCUGUCUUGGUGAUGUCCAUGGUCACCGUCUCCAGCCUGUCUGAAGUCUGGCCCCUCAGCUGCUUGGUCCCCUUCUCUGUCCUACAUGCAGCUCCCGCAAGCCUGUGCAUUCAGUUGUCUGGCCAGUAGCUUCCUGAAGCGUGAGUCACAGCUCAUGAUGAACACGUACUUGUCUCUCAGGUGACUCACCACCUGCCUCUCCCAGUACCAGUGCAGAAGGUAGUAUAGGCCCAGGAGGACCGCCAGGUAGAGCCACAUGGCUUUGCAGAGGACAGACCCAGACGGGCUGGGGUGAAGUGAGAGUCUGGCCUCUGUUCAGACAGGAGGACUUAAGAACACAGAGGGCUGAGGUAGGCAGGGAAGCCCUCAGGCAUUUUGGCAGAAAGUCCUCACUUUCCUCUCUGAUCACUGUCUUUCUGCACCAUUUUUUAUCCUGGCUUCAUCUCUCUGCUCUUUCAACUGCCUUUGCAGGUGUUCAUGCAUGCAACUGCAAACCCCAAGCUCUGCCCAGUGAGUAGUUAUCACUACUCAGCAAUGCUUCCCUAGUCCACCAAUGCCUCUCUGCCUUGCUGUGCCUACUCAGGUGUCCACACAGGGGCCCACACACACACACCAUGAAACACACCACUCUGAUCUACAAACAAGGGUCAGAACUUGUCUCUACAUAUCUUGUGAUAUGGUUUGGAUAUUUGUGCCACCAAAAUUGCAUGUUGAAAUGCGUUCCCCAAUAUUGGAGGCAGGAGCUGGUGGGAGGUGUUGGGUCAUGGUAGUGGAUCCCUCAUGGCUUGGUGCUGUCCUGGAGACACUGGAAUGAGUUGUGAUGGGAUCUGGUUGUUUAAAAGUGUGGCACCUCCCCAGCUCUCUCUUUCUUGCUCCCACUUGCCAUGUGACAAAUCAGCUCCCCCUUUGACUUCUGCAGUGAUUAUAAGCUUCCUGAUGCCUCACCAGGAGCCAAGCAGAUGCAUGCUUGUACAGCCUGCAGAACCAUGAGCCAAUUAAACCUGUUUUCUUUAUAAAUUACCCAGUCUCAGGUAUUUAUUAUAGCAACACAAGAACGGCCUAACACACAUUGUAUACCAACACUCCUGGACCAUGGUCUCCCAGAAAACAGACUUU